rnacentral:rRNA from 1 species
GACGAACGCUGGCGGCGUGCUUAACACAUGCGAGUCGAACGGAAAGGCCCUGCUUGCAGGGUGCUCGAGUGGCGAACGGGUGAGUAACACGUGGGUGAUCUGCCCCUUACUUUGGGAUAAGCCUGGGAAACUGGGUCUAAUACUGGAUAGGACCAUGCUGUAGGUGGUGUGGUGGAAAGAUUAGUUUCGGUAAGGGAUGAGCUCGCGGCCUAUCAGCUUGUUGGUGGGGUAAUGGCCUACCAAGGCGUCGACGGGUAGCCGGCCUGAGAGGGUGGACGGCCACAUUGGGACUGAGAUACGGCCCAGACUCCUACUGGAGGCAGCAGUGGGGAAUAUUGCACAAUGGGCGCAAGCCUGAUGCAGCGACGCCGCGUGGGGGAUGACGGCCUUCGGGUUGUAAACUCCUUUCAGCCAUGACGAAGCCCUUGUGGUGACGGUAGUGGUAGAAGAAGCACCGGCUAACUACGUG